UCCCUAGUGGCUCAGCUGGUAGAGAAUCCGCCUGUGAUGCGGGAGACCUUGGUUCGAUCCCUGGGUUGGGAA
rnacentral:tRNA from 1 species